GAGGAAUCAUUGUGAUCAUCAUACUCAUCUUCCUGGUUGUCAGUGUGUGCACUCUCGUGUUUCUCCAGUGGUUUAAGUCGACAAAUCCACAACAGACUGAGAGUCAAACAGGUGAAGACGAGCUAGCUAAAACAGAAGAAGAAGGGAUCCAUUAUGGAGAGAUCAACUUCUCCAAGCAGAGACCUGGACAGUCCUCUGACUCAGUGCAGGCCAGCAGAGAGCAGCAGGAUAUUGUGUAUGAACAGGUCAAAGUGUCCGAGCCAACAAACAGAUUCACACAGACUGCUGACGGCCCAGAGGAGCUGUAUGCUCAAGUGAAGAACAAAUGAGAGUUGUUUUGUUGUUUAAAGACAGAUUACACUUAGAUGCAAUUUACAUUAAGCAUCACUUUAUUAUUUAUUCAUACAUGCAUUCAUACAGGUUAUUUUAUGUCAGGAACAGAUACUGAAGCGUUGAUAGAAAAUUUUCACUGUUCACAGUUCAAUGAAGAGAAGCUCAAAACUUCCUCAUCCUGCAGCUUUUUUCAUUUUCAUUAUCAAUAUGUUCAGUUACAUGUGUGCUGACAUAGCAUAGCUGUUUUAUUAUUAGUCAUGUAUAUUU